GAUGAAGAACGUAGUGAAAUGCGAUAAGUAGUGUGAAUUGCAGAAUUCAGUGAAUCAUCGAAUCUUUGAACGCACAUUGCACCUCUCGGUAUUCCGGGAGGUAUGCCUGUUCGAGCGUCAUUUGUACCCUCAAGCUCUGCUUGGUGUUGGGUGUUUGUUCCGCCUCUGUGUGUGAACUCGCCUCAAAACAAUUGGCAGCCGGCGUACUUGUUUCGGAGCGCAGCACAUUUUGCGAUCCAGAUCAACGUACAGCGGCAUCCAAGAAGCCUUAUUUAACGCUCUUGACCUCGGAUCAGGUAGGGAUACCCGCUGAACUUAAGCAUAUCAAUAAGCGGAGGA
rnacentral:misc_RNA from 1 species